AAUAUAAUGAAAUAUUAGUUAUUUUAUAUAAUUAAAUCUUAUAUAAUAUACAUAUAUAUAUUUAUAUUA
rnacentral:tRNA from 1 species